UUAGAGUUUGAUCCUGGCUCAGGAUGCUUGCUAGCGGCCGGCCUAAUACAUGCAAGUCGAACGGUAAACGCCCUUCGGGGCGUGAGAGUGGCGCACGGGUGCGUAACGCGUAUGCAACCCACCCCCUGCAGGGGUAUAGCCCGGAGAAAUCCGGAUUAACCCCCCAUGAGGAGCGGGAGAGGCAUCUCUCCCGUUUCAAAACUACGGUGGCGGGGGGACGGGCAUGCGUCCCAUUAGGUAGUCGGCGGGGCAACGGCCCACCGAGCCUGUGAUGGGUAGGGGAUCUGAGAGGACGGUCCCCCACACUGGUACUGAGACACGGACCAGACUCCUACGGGAGGCAGCAGUAAGGGAUAUUGGUCAAUGGGCGGUAGCCUGAACCAGCCAAGUAGCGUGAAGGAUGACGGCCCUAUGGGUUGUAAACUUCUUUUAUGCCGGAGUAAAAAGGCCCACGUGUGGGUCCUUGCAAGUACGGCAGGAAUAAGCAUCGGCUAACUCCGUGCCAGCAGCCGCGGUAAUACGGAGGAUGCGAGCGUUAUCCGGAUUUAUUGGGUUUAAAGGGAGCGUAGGCGGGUUGUUAAGUCAGCUGUGAAAUCCUGAUGCUCAACAUCAGCACUGCAGUUGAUACUGGCGACCUUGAGCGCGGUAGAGGCGGGCGGAAUUCAUGGUGUAGCGGUGAAAUGCUUAGAUAUCAUGAAGAACUCCGAUUGCGAAGGCAGCUCGCUGGACCGCAACUGACGCUGAAGCUCGAAAGUGCGGGUAUCAAACAGGAUUAGAUACCCUGGUAGUCCGCACAGUAAACG
rnacentral:rRNA from 1 species